rnacentral:rRNA from 1 species
GAUGAACGCUGGCGGCGUGCUUAACACAUGCAAGUCGAACGAAGCACUUCAUUUGAUUUCCUUCGGGACUGAUUAUUUUGUGACUGAGUGGCGGACGGGUGAGUAACGCGUGGGUAACCUGCCUUGUACAGGGGGAUAACAGUUGGAAACGGCUGCUAAUACCGCAUAAGCGCACAGCAUCGCAUGAUGCAGUGUGAAAAACUCCGGUGGUAUAAGAUGGACCCGCGUUGGAUUAGCUAGUUGGUGAGGUAACGGCCCACCAAGGCGACGAUCCAUAGCCGACCUGAGAGGGUGACCGGCCACAUUGGGACUGAGACACGGCCCAAACUCCUACGGGAGGCAGCAGUGGGGAAUAUUGCACAAUGGGCGAAAGCCUGAUGCAGCGACGCCGCGUGAGCGAAGAAGUAUUUCGGUAUGUAAAGCUCUAUCAGCAGGGAAGAUAAUGACGGUACCUGACUAAGAAGCACCGGCUAAAUACGUG